UAGGUACUCCCUCUGUCCGAAAAAGCUUGUCCCAAACUUGUCCCUCAAAUGGAUGUAUCUAGCACUAACUUGAUGCUAGAUACAUUCAUUUGAGGGACAAGCUUUUCCGGACGGAGGAAGUAGCAU
rnacentral:pre_miRNA from 1 species